CCUGCCCCUAGAAGCAUUGCAGGUGUGGCUGUUUUGUCACAUGUAUGUCAGUAGGUGGCAAAGAGGAGAGAGGCUAUGUCUGUGCUCAGUGUUCUGACCUAUGAGCAUCUGAAUGAUUAGUAGCCUAAUAGU